rnacentral:lncRNA from 1 species
GGGACGACAAAAGGAAGACAAAAACGGCAGCACAUGCUGUCGUUUCCUAUCCUCUCUCUUUAGAAAAUGAGCAUGCGUGAAUUUUAAGUUAGACCCACAAUCAAUUUAAAAAAUUAAAUUAAACAUAAUGCGUGAGCCAAUAAAGCAUUAACAAGAAUUUUUUUUUCUCUCUCACCUCUCUUUUAGCUGGAAUAGAACCCACAAACUCACUCACGCACGCACUCUUACUUCCCUUUUGACAAACCACAGAAUCACACCCACAAUCAACAAUCACCCACGCACUCUUACUUUCCGUUUGACAAACCACAUACGACGGACGAGCCCACAGACGACGGACCACCACCAUCACGUGAUCGAGGGAGUAGAACUCACGCGGUGGUGCGUUGGAGCCGCGGUUCUUUCGAGCUAAAAGGUCGGCGUUCCUGUUGGUUUUCGUCGGCGAGGAUGGUAGGGAAACGACGGUCGGCUUCCAAGCUUCAGAUCAAUACCUUGAUCGGUCGGUGGAGUUGCCGGGAUCGUGAAAUCCAACCGGGUCACGUUCGUGGGUCGGGUCGGGUUCACGGUUUUGAGCUAAAUCGACGGCGUUCUUGUUGGUUUUCGGCGGCAAGGAUGGCAGGGAAACGAGGGCCGGCUUCCAAGCUUCAGAUCAAUACCUUGAUUGGCCGGUAGAGUGGCCGAUGGUGAAAUCCAACCGGGUCACGUUCGCGGGUCGGGUUCGUGGGUCAAAUUGGGUCAACCUCCCUCCCUUCUCAUCUCCUCAUCCACUCACAAAGCACCACACCACGGCUCCCCUUAGCCAGGUUGUUGCUGCUGGAAUUUUUUUUGCUGGAAGUGUUACUGGAAUUUUUUUUGCUGAAGGUGUUACUGGUGCUGGAGUUGUUGCUGCUGGAAUUUUUUUUUUUUUUGUGUUUGUGUGUUUUUGUUUGUCUUUGUUUCUAUUCCUGUCUCAACUACAAGCUUCUAUAAUAAGUGUUUGGCCUCGACACAAAAUCAAUGUUUGUAAUAGAGAUAAUCAAUAAAAGUCAGUUCAGUUUUCCAAUUUUGUCAGUUUGGCCUGGGCACAAAUUUUUUAUGUUCUGAUUUAUUUUUGAAACAGAGCAGAGCUCACAACGUGCAGCCCAGCUGAAAUGAAUUGAAGCAAAGCAGAGCGACAUCGUUUGAUGAAAAGGGGAUGCUCACACGGUGCUAA